AGGACGAACGCUGGCGGCGUGCUUAACACAUGCAAGUCGAGCGGAAAGGCCCUUCGGGGUACUCGAGCGGCGAACGGGUGAGUAACACGUGAGCAACCUGCCCUUAGCUUCGGGAUAGCUCCGGGAAACCGGAAUUAAUACCGAAUAUGAAUUUGGCUGACAUCAGCAGAAGUGGAAAGUUUUUCGGCUAGGGAUGGACUCGCGGCCUAUCAGCUAGUUGGUGAGGUAACGGCCCACCAAGGCGACGACGGGUAGCCGGCCUGAGAGGGCGACCGGCCACACUGGGACUGAGACACGGCCCAGACUCCUACGGGAGGCAGCAGUGGGGAAUAUUGCGCAAUGGGGCGAAAAGCCUGACGCAGCGACGCCGCGUGGGGGAUGAAUGCCUUCGGGUUGUAAACCCCUUUCAGCAGGGACGAAGCGAAAGUGACGGUACCUGCAGAAGAAGCGCCGGCUAACUACGUGCCAGCAGCCGC
rnacentral:rRNA from 1 species